rnacentral:ncRNA from 2 species
AAGUGGGGUAGAGGCGCAGGAAGAAUCAGUAUACUUAUGGAGCGGGUGGAACGCAUAGAUAUGAGUAGAAAGGUCGACUUGCCGAAGCCUACAUAUGUACCACAUUAUGUAGAGCUGGGGUGUUAUUGAAGAAAUAACGCACUGUCACUGAGGAAUCAGUGGAGGACUAUUCAUUUU